AUGGAACAGCCACAAUCUUUGACAUAUGGUGGUUCUUCAGUGCGCGUAUGGAAGGCCGAGAAGUUCUAUUGCUCGUAUACGCCAAGUUCAGAGAAGUUGCCGCCAACGGCGCCGGAGCAGCGGCAGGGGCGGAGCUUUGUACGGGCAGACCUGGGCCAUGGCCCGCCCAGGAUUUUUUUUUUUGCAUCAGUUCGACAAAAAAAGUGUACAAUAGUUCAAACUCUGAGAGCUAUUAAGUUUUAUUUUUUUAGAAUGGGAGUUGUAUGUUUACUCUCUGCCUGUACAGUGCAUUUUGUAUUCCUGGUCGUUGUAGUUUUUUUUGUGUUAAUAAAAAUGAAUUAUGUAUUUGUUAAUCAUUCCUCCACUUCCACUAGAAGAAAAGUGAUUUAG
rnacentral:rRNA from 1 species